rnacentral:tRNA from 1 species
GGGCCAGUAGCUCAGCUGGUUAGAGCGUCUGCCUCUUAAGCAGAAUGUCGCGGGUUCGAGUCCCGCCUGGCCCUCCA